rnacentral:ribozyme from 1 species
AGCAAUACCGCACUGAUAUAGAUAUGGAUUCAAAGUCUCUUGAAGGAUAAUAUAGGUUCUCCGUCCCGACCCUACUAUACGUCCAUGUCGUAUAUACAUAUCUCUACAAAUAUCUGAGCUUGGGUAUACGAGGAAACCCUGGAGACUAGAUGUUCCUCAUGCCCUGG